rnacentral:hammerhead_ribozyme from 1 species
GUCCAGCUGAUGAGUCCCGAACAGGACGAAACGCGCAUCCUGGAU